AUGAAAAGACCAUGCACACUGGAGCAGGACAGUUGCAAUUUUGGCUUCCCUCUCUCCUGACUCUGGGAUCUUGAGUAAAUUACUCCAAGUCCUUAAGCCUCUGUUUCCACAUCUGGAAACUGAACAUAGUAACACCGACCUCUCAGAGUUGUUGGGACAAUUAAUCAGGAACAUAUGUGGAAGCACAGUGCCAGGGACAAGGCAUUCAUGUGAUAAACAGUGAUGUCUUUCCUUCCUUUCCCACCCCUUUUCUUCUUCCCUGCAGAGACACUCAAACUGGGAUUCUGGUCAUGGCCAGGUGACUGCCAUGAGGACAGAGCCAUCUGGCGUUAGUUCCUGGAUGAAAGCUGUACAGGAAGCAUGGUGCCAGCAUCUGCUUCUGCUAAGGGGUUCAGGCUGCUUCCGCUCAUGGCAGAAGGCGCAGGGGAGCCGGCAAGUCACAUGGUGAGAGAGGAAGCAAGAGAGAGAGGAGGAGAUGCCAGGCUCUUUUUAACAAUCAGUUCUCAUGGGAACUCAGAAGAGCGAGAACUCAUUCAUUACUGCAAGGAUGACUCCAAGCCAUUCAUGAGGGACCAGAUUCCAUGACCCAAACACCGCCCACCAGGCCCCAUCUCUCACACUGGGGAUCACAUUUCAACAUGAGACUUGGAUGGGACAAACAUCCAAACUGUAUCAGACAUCAUCUCACGAAUCCACAAAUUUAGCUGCUUUUCUUUCUUUUCUGUAGUUUCACAACCUACUAUAGAAGCAUUUUCUAGAAGGGCCUGCAGAAGUGAAUUUCCUCUUCCUUGGCCUCGAUGUACCUGGCUGAACUUACUGCCAACAGCACUGCAACUCACGUUGAAGGCAGCUCAUCCGGCACAGGUAUUGUCUCCACAGGCAGAUCGCAGCCUCCUGCACUCAGAGACGGUAGACAGCACUUCAGCACCAUGCCUGGGGGCAUUUUAAACAGCAAAAUCACCAACAAAAGUACAAAAAUGCAAAAGCAUGGCUCUGGAUAGACAGCAGGAAGGACCACUUGUUUAUAGUGUGAGCUAGGACAAGAAGGCAGAGGGGUCACCUUGCUUCACCUCAGCUGGGAACAGGUGCCUUGGACUACUCAGAUUUUUUCCCUGCUCUGUACAAGUCUGUGAAUCACUGUGAAGCCACAAGUAUUGAUUUGGUUUACAAAUACAUUUUAGUGAAGAGGUGAAUUUGCAGGUAUGGGAUCCAGAAAUAAUGAGAUCGGACUGUAAGUCUGGAGACGAAGAUGGAGAGGCUGCUGCCAAGUAAAAGGCUGCCUCUUGUCCCAGAAGCUGUGGACUGCCACUGGAGUGUUUCAAGCAAGGGAGGUGGCUUGAUCUGUGUUGUAGGAACAGCACCUUUUCUCAACUUAAAGUGUGGCUUCAAGAGAGGAAGACAGGAGACUGAUUAGGAGAUGGAUGUAUCCAGGGGAGGAUGAGGGUGGGUGAACGGAGCCAGGGGUAGAGGUCCUCAGGGGAGCUGACCUGAGAGCCCUGUGAGUCUCGGGUCCUGGCAAUGGGGCGGCGGUGAGUGGUGAGGGGGAGGCAUUGAGGACAGCGCCCGGGGUCCCCGGCUGGGGCACAUGCUGGAGUGUAGGGCAGUGGUCCAAGGCCCUAGCCUUGGAGUCAGACACCCCUGAUUUUAAAUCCAGUCUCCACCACUGGCAGGCUGUGUGGCUUAGACAUGCUCCUCCACUUCCCUAAGCCUAGUUGUUUCAUCUCUAGUAUAAAGAUUCCAUGUGGCAGGAAGAACACACCCCCGGGAGUGAUUCUGAGAUUGAAAUGAGUGCUGGUGCUUUUCACCUAAACAAGGAAAACGGGGAGAGAAGCAGUAUGUGGGGUGGGAGGGAGAAGGAGAGGAGUCUGGGCGUGGGGAGUCGGACGUGCCUGGGGACACUGCUGGACAAAUAUCCUGAGGCCGUCUGAUGUUUUCCUGGGGCCAUGGGAGGGGAAGCUGGGGCGGAGACACAGACUUGGGCAUUACCAGCAGGCAGGAGGCUGCUACCGCCAUGAAGAGCGGGCAGUGCCAGGAUCAGAGGGCCGGGGUAAAGCCUGCAUUGUUCCCACAUUUCAGAAGAGGCUGGGCAGGAGGUCAAGGAAGAGCAGCAGGAGGAGGAGAAAGCAGCAGGGUGUGGAGGGACGGGAGGGGAGGAGGAAUUCCAGGAGGGAGUGGCCGGGGUGACUGUUCUGAAAGCAUGGACUGGAAGCCACAGCACAUGUGGGCUGCAAGGAACCCGAGAGAUCUUUUAGUCUAAUCCUCUUUUAGUCUCCAUCCCCGUCCGGAUGAAGACAUCGAGAUUCAAAAGCAAAGUCAGUUGUACUGUGACUUCAUAGCAGGAUACCCUAACUCCUAAUUCAUAACAAAACUACAGACAUUCUCAAUUCAAAAUUCUUCCUAUUUAGUCACACUGGACUUUCUCCCAAUGUGACAAAAUUAUUGAGAUUUUAUUGACUUACUGAACAACUGUGGUCUUUGCCAUGUACUAAGAUGCUGUGUAGUCAAACUGUGCCUCCGAAAUCUAUUUUUAUUGUACAUUUAACAAAUUUUGCUGUAAACAAGUUUAAAAACAAUAGUCAUAACCCAUUAAACUGUAUCUUUUAAUUUUAAUGUUAUUAUACCUCAAUGAAGCUCAGUUUUAAAAAACAGUGAAUAAAAAGUUGAGCUAUUAAAACUAAAAAGUAAUUAUUUGCUGAUUUGUAUACAGAGACCCAAGCAAUAGAAAUAUAGGAAUAUUUGGAACUUGCUCCUUCUUACAGCCUUGAGGGAACCGCUUAUCCCUUAUUACAUCUUGGUUUCCCUCAAUGAAACCAGAAAAUAUCAUCUUGCAAGACUGCUCAUAGCUAAUUAAUAUGUAUGAAGCUCUUGAAUCUAAAUAUUAAAUACUUGAUGAUAUUGUCUGAUAAAUAUUAUCUAACUGCAUUUAUAAAUACUAGCAUUUUUACAGCCUAGUUGUAAUUACAAAGUAUAGCCCAUUUAAAAUGUAUACAAAUAUAUGCAUAUAUAUUUUUCCUAUGAAAGUAGGAAAAGAAAGUCGAAAUUAUGCAAGAACAAAGUAGAAAAAUAUGCCUCUCCUAUAAGAUUGAGUGUUUCCAUUGAUCAAUACAAUUUUUAAAAUGUUGUGAUAAUUCUUUUUUUCACUUAAUUGGUUAUGUCAUUUGCACUCUACCUAACUGAGAUAUUAAUAAAUUGUAUAUGAUGUAAAUAACAGGAAACAAAAAGAACUGCUGGCCUUAUUCAUAGUUAAUAAAGAGAACCAGAUGAUG
rnacentral:lncRNA from 1 species